UACGAAGGUGGCUAGCGUUGUUCGGAUUUAUUGGGCGUAAAGGGUCCGCAGGCGGUUUGGUAAGUCAGGUGUGAAAUCCAACAGCUUAACUGUUGACACGCAUUUGAUACUGUCAGACUAGAGGAUGAGAGGGGUGAGUGGAAUUUCCAGUGUAGGGGUGAAAUCCGUAGAUAUUGGAAAGAACACCGGCCGCGAAGGCGUUUCACUGGCUCAUUACUGACGCUCAGGGACGAAAGCUAGGGGAGCAAACGGG
rnacentral:rRNA from 1 species